rnacentral:rRNA from 1 species
UACGGGGGGAGCAAGCGUUGUUCGGAUUUACUGGGCGUAAAGGGCGCGUAGGCGGUCAGCACAAGUCAGUUGUGAAAUCUCCGGGCUUAACUCGGAAAGGUCAACUGAUACUGUGCGACUAGAGUGCAGAAGGGGCAACUGGAAUUCUCGGUGUAGCGGUGAAAUGCGUAGAUAUGACAUAGAACACCAAUUGCGAAGGCAGCUGGCUACACAAAUAUUGACACUGAGGCACGAAAGCGUGGGGAUCAAACAGG